rnacentral:rRNA from 1 species
CACACGUGCUACAAUGGGUAGUACAGAGGGUUGCCAAACCGUAAGGUGGAGCUAAUCCCUUAAAGCUACUCUCAGUUCGGAUUGUAGGCUGAAACUCGCCUACAUGAAGCUGGAGUUACUAGUAAUCGCAGAUCAGAAUGCUGCGGUGAAUGCGUUCCCGGGUCUUGUACACACCGCCCGUCACACCACGGGAGUUGGAGACGCCCGAAGCCGAUUAUCUAACCUUUUGGAAGAAGUCGUCGAAGGUGGAAUCAAUAACUGGGGUGAAGUCGUAACAAGGUAGCCGUAUCGGAAGGUGCGGCUGGAUC